rnacentral:lncRNA from 1 species
GUGAGGAGAAAGGAGUAGGAAGGCACAGAGGACCUAACUGGCAAAAACAAAUAAGUGAGGUAGAUAAAAAGAAUGAAUCUAAUGGCUUCACCUGACUUAGGCACAGUUUUAAGGGGCCUGACUUAGGCCUGGGGACUUAUGUUUUUAGCUGGGCUCUGUUGGCCUUUUUGAUGUGGGAGUGAUUAAGCAGGAAUGCCGUCUACUUUCAGAGCAGUUGGAGUCAUGAAGUCUUUUCUAAGCAGGAGUGAGUCUUUCUUUUUGGAACUUUUAAACAAACACUAGGUCUCCUGGCUGGAACGAAUGGUAGGACUUUGUCAGGUCAGGAAUUGGAUUGGGAUGGGCUCCUCAAACAAGUGGCAGGAUGAUCUCUUGUACCUGUUGGAGAGACUAUAGGUACUGUAAUAAAUUAAUUUGUGAUAUUUCUGCUAAUUUGGCAUCUCUUAGCUUAGACAAGAUAGGCAGCGCCUUCUUAUACAUGAUUUCAAAGGGUGAGAACUUAGCCUGAUAAGGGGUGCACUUUACUUUAAGUAGGGCUAAAGGAAGGAGACUUACUUAAUUUACACUGGUUUUUAAGAUCAAUAUUGUAAGAGUGUUUUUAAUGUGUGGUUCAUGCGUUCUACUUGCCUGGAGCUCUGAGGUUGAUAGGCACAAUGGAGUUUCUAUUGAAUGUUUAACGCCUUACUGACUGACUGAGCUAUAGGUGAGGUGAAGGCUGCUCUAUUAUCAGACUUUAUGGCAGCAGGCAGCCUAUAUUGAGGGAUGAUUUCAUUGAGUAAAAACUUAACUACUGUGUUGGUGGUUUCGUUUUCGGUAGCAAAUGCCUUAGUCGAUCUGGAGAAGGUGUCUACUAGUACUAGAAGGUAUUUGUCCUUAACCUGGUAUGGUUUGACUUCUGUAAAGUCAAUUUCUUACUUUUUUCUUGACGAGUUUUUUCAGAGACAGUGGCCUGGGCUGGGUUUAGGACUUUGUUUGGCUUUUACGUGGGCGCAGGUUGUGCACUUGAGAGCUGCUUAAUCUGUUAGGCUUUGAAGACGGGGGAUCUUAAAAUGGCUCCGGAGGAGCUGAGGUAGCUUUGCUCUUUUUAAGUGGGUGGUAGACUGUAGGUGGCUGAUUAAAGUUUCUUUAAGAGUUCAGGGUGUGAAGAUUCUAGAGUCAGGAAGAAUCUACUAACUUUCCUGAUUUGUAUUGGCUCUGAGAUCUGAAGCCAGUUUUUUUGUUGUUGUUGAGUAUACGGGAUUGUCAGGCAGAUCUGGCUGUGGAAAGGAGACUGUGGGCAGCAAGUUUAGAGGCGUGACUGAAAGUCUUGCUGCGACCUGAGCUGCUGAAUCAGCUUUCUGGUUACUAUGGGCUACGGCCGUGUUUUCUUUUUGAUGUCCUUUGCAGUGGAUCACAGCUAGCUGCUGAGACAGACAAGGGGAGGGGGUCCUGUGAUGGUAUCAGUCAGAUGCCUGUCUGGCCACUCCCGCUGAGGGGACUUGGGCUCCUCUUAGCAUUGGCAGGCCGGUAUAAACUUCCACCUCGGAUCGAGCUGUGCCUGAUGCUGCCUUAAGCCUUAUGAGGUCGCCACGGAACCGCAGCAUCCUAGAAACUCCUGGAGGGCAGAGUCAUGCCUGCCAUCUUCAUCAUUGCAUUACCAGCACCCAGCACAGUGCCUGGCACAAAAGAAUUGCUCAAUAAAUGAAUCAGGAUGAAUGGACAAAUACACGGAUAGGCAGUUUGAACUACAGAUGAGCUUAAAUACUUUGUGCUUUUCUUAGUCAAACAUGUGCAAUUAAGCAUAAUGAUAUGACCACACCUGUGUGUCAUAUACCACACCUGUGUCUUGCCUGAUGUUCUUUGCAGUCACUAAAUGAAGUCAAUUGUGCCUGUUUUCACAGUUCUGUUUUCAACCUAAUGAUCUGUUUCUUUUAACUUCUGACUGUUGGCUUUGUUUGGGUUUCUUAGCCUGACAAAGUGACAGAUAUUGGUAUGUGCUCUUUUGUUUACAUGUCACGAACUUUAAAAAUGCCUUUGCUUUUGGUAAGAAACCCUAGUUAAGACAGUCUAGUGGUCAGGAUGAUUUGGGUUCUGGUGCAGUAACAACAAUCCCCAAAUCUCAGUGGCACCAUGCAGUGACGUAUUUGUUUGUUUGUUUUUGAGAAAGGGUCUCACUCUGUCACCCAGGCUAGAGUGCAGUGGCACAAUCUCAGCUCACUGCCACCUCUGCCUCCCAGACUCAAGCGAUUCUCCUGCUUCCUGAGUAGCUGGGAUUACAGGCCCAUGUCACUACUGUCUGCCUAAUUUUUGUACUUUAGUAGAGACAGGAUUUCACCAUGUUAGCCAGGCUGGUCUUGAACUCCUGACCUCAAAUGAUCCACCUGCCUUGGCCUCCCAAAGUGCUGGGAUGACAGGCAUGAGCCACCAUGCCUGGCCACAGUGAGGCUUGUUCUUGGUCACGUUGAAUGUCUGGGCUGUGUUAGGGCAUUGUGGGGUGGUCUGUUCAUUGUGUUCACUCAGGGAUCCAGGCUGACAAAAGCCCCAUCUCUGCAUGUGUCCUUGAUCACCACUUCAGGGGAAAGGGAAUGUGGUGGAUCACAGAGCCUCUAAACACUUCCACCUGGAGGUGACUCAAGUUGCCCCUGCUCAUGGUUCAUUGGAAAAAACGGAUCACAGAGUCAUGGACAACUUCUCUGUGCCUGGAAAGGGAACCAAAAUAUGAAUAGCUACAUUGAUUUUCCCUAGCUAUUACACAGAAGGCCUCAUUUAAGCGCAGUUACUUAUUUGUGUUUUGAAGCUAACUGUAGUCCAUCAACCUUCAGAGAAGAUAUGUGCACUUCCAAGCUAUUAUUAUUAUUUUUUUUUUUGAGAUAGAGUCUCACUCUGUUGCUCAGGCUGGAGUGCAGUGGCAUGAUCAUGGAUCACUGCAACUUCUGCCUCCUGGGUUCAAGUGAUUUUCGUGCCCCAGUCUCCCAAAGUACUGGGAUUACAGACACCCACCACCGCGACUGGCUAAGUUUUGUAGUUUUAGUAGAGAUGGGGUUUCACCAUGUUGGCCUGGCUGAUCUGGAACUCCUGACCUCAGGUGAUCCACCUGCCUUGGCCUCCCAAAGUGCUGAGAUGACAGGCGUGAGCUGCCGCACCCAGCCUUGAGUAUGAUUUUUGAUUCGGAAGGCCAGAGUUAGGGUUUUAGUCUGAGGACAGUAUGAUGUGAAGGUGAAAAGCAGAGCUUGGCUGUGAGUUUGCUGGGAUUCCUGUACUGCUUCUACAGCUCUUUGGCUGUGUGACCGUCACCUUUGGCAAGUUCCUUUACCUUUCUAUGUGUUGGUUUCCUCAUCAAUAAAAUGGAAAAAAUAAUCAUAAUCAUAAUAUCUAUUGGUGUUGGGAUAGCCCAGUUGUUGACACAUAAGGACUCAAAAAUAGAUUUAAUUUUUGAGAUGGAGUCUUGCUCUGUUGCUAGGCUGGAGUGCAGUGGUGAAAUCUCGGCUCACUGCAACCUCUGCCUCCUGGGUUCAAGCGAUUCUCCUGCCUCAGCCUCCUUAGUAGCUGGGAUUACAGACACCCACCACCACUCCCAGCUAAUUUUUGUAUUUGUAGUAGAGAUCGGGUUUCGCCAUGUUGGCCAGGAUGCUCUCGAUCUCUUGACCUCAUGAUCUGCCCACCUCAGCCUCCCAAAGUGUUGGGAUUACAGGCGUGAGCCACCGUGCCCGGCUCAAAAAUACUGUUAUUAAUUUUGGGGGGUAGUUACUCUAUUUUGUGAAAAUCAGAGUUCAGUACCUUGUAACACUGGGUUGGGAUCUAUCCUUGAAGGAACAGGCUUCUAAAGAGAAAGGCAUGGAGAGAGGGGCAAAAUUUUAGUGGAUAUUGUAAUGACUUUAGGUAUAUGGACCUGGGGCUGAGUUCUAGCUGGGGCCACCAGGUAGCAAGGUGGAUUUUGCUAAAUUCUAUCACUUUCCUGGGCCUCAGACUCACUUGUUACAAAUGGGGUUAAAGCAUCCCUCUUUCAGGGCUAAGAUAAAGAUGAUUAAGUAAGAGGGAAUGAAAGCAACUUCCAUCAAUGGUCAAAAGUAUUCGUUUAACUACUUCUAUUUAUUUAUUUAUUUUUUUUUUGAGAUAGAUGGAGUCUCUCUCUGUUGCCCAGGUUGGAGUGCAGUGCCAUGGUCCCAGGUCACUGCAACCUCCACCUCCUGGGUUCAAGUGAUUCUCCUGCUUCAGUCUCCUGAGUAGCUGGGACUACAGGUGCGUGCCACCACGCCUGGCUAAUUUUUGUAUUUUUAGUAGAGACAGGGUUUCAUCAUGUUGGCCAGGAUGGUGUUGAUCUCUUGACCUCGUGAUCCACCCUCCUUAGCCUCCCAAAGUGUUGGGAUUACAGGCAUGAGCCACCACGCCCGGCCCACUUAACUUGUAUAUUACUUUCCUGUUGGUGGAUUUACCAGUGCAAACUGAGCAGCUUAAAACAUCACCCAGUUAUUAUCUUUUUUCCUGGACAGGGUUUAACUGGGUCUUCUAUUCAGGGUCACAAUACUGCAACCAGAGUGUCAGCUGGAGCUGGGGUCUCCUCAGAUGCUCAGGGUCCUCUUCUAAGCUUAUUCAGUUUGUGGAUUGAAUUCAAUUUCUUGCAACUGUUGAACGAAGGCCCUUAGCUCCUAGAGCUGCCACCUCCAAAGACAGCUCACAACAUGGCCAUUUGUGUCUCCUUGGAGGCUAAGGGUUGAAUCUGUGAAAGUUCACCUUUAAAAGGCUCACCUGAUUAGGUCUGGCCCACCUAAGGUCAUCCUGCUUUGGAUGAACUCAAAGUCAGCUGAGCAAAUGUGCUUAACAAAGCAAGUGUGACCAUAAUCACAUUUGCAAAAUUCCUUCCCCUUGUCCAAAUCACAAGCUCUGCACACACUCAAGAAGAAGAGGUGAUACAGGGAGCAGAUAUAAGAGAGUGGGUCUCUUGGGGGCUGUCCUAGAAUUCUGCCCAUAACAACUUCCUUUCUCACAACUUCCUUUCUCGAGGAACAG